rnacentral:rRNA from 1 species
GAUGAACGCUGGCGGCGUGCCUAAUACAUGCAAGUAGAACGCUGAAGCUUGGUGCUUGCACCGAGCGGAGGAGUUGCGAACGGGUGAGUAACGCGUAGGUAACCUGCCUCUUAGCGGGGGAUAACUAUUGGAAACGAUAGCUAAUACCGCAUAAAAGUCGACAUUGCAUGAUGUUGACUUGAAAGGUGCAACUGCAUCACUAAGAGAUGGACCUGCGUUGUAUUAGCUAGUUGGUGAGGUAACGGCUCACCAAGGCGACGAUACAUAGCCGACCUGAGAGGGUGAUCGGCCACACUGGGACUGAGACACGGCCCAGACUCCUACGGGAGGCAGCAGUAGGGAAUCUUCGGCAAUGGACGGAAGUCUGACCGAGCAACGCCGCGUGAGUGAAGAAGGUUUUCGGAUCGUAAAGCUCUGUUGUAAGAGAAGAACGAGUGUGAGAGUGGAAAGUUCACACUGUGACGGUAUCUUACCAGAAAGGGACGGCUAACUACGUGCCAGCAGCCGCGGUAAUACGUAGGUCCCGAGCGUUGUCCGGAUUUAUUGGGCGUAAAGCGAGCGCAGGCGGUUAGAUAAGUCUGAAGUUAAAGGCUGUGGCUUAACCAUAGUACGCUUUGGAAACUGUUUAACUUGAGUGCAAGAGGGGAGAGUGGAAUUCCAUGUGUAGCGGUGAAAUGCGUAGAUAUAUGGAGGAACACCGGUGGCGAAAGCGGCUCUCUGGCUUGUAACUGACGCUGAGGCUCGAAAGCGUGGGGAGCAAACAGG